UACGGAGGAUUCAAGCGUUAUCCGGAUUUAUUGGGUUUAAAGGGUGCGUAGGCGGUUUGAUAAGUUAGAGGUGAAAUCCCGGGGCUUAACUCCGGAACUGCCUCUAAUACUGUUAGACUAGAGAGUAGUUGCGGUAGGCGGAAUGUAUGGUGUAGCGGUGAAAUGCUUAGAGAUCAUACAGAACACCGAUUGCGAAGGCUGCUUACCAAACUAUAUCUGACGUUGAGGCACGAAAGCGUGGGGAGCAAACAGG
rnacentral:rRNA from 1 species